UACAGAGGGCGCGAGCGUUGUCCGGAAUCACUGGGCGUAAAGGGCGCGUAGGUGGCCACCAUAAGGCCGCGGUGAAAGUUCGGGGCUCAACCCUGAAUCGGCCGCGGCGACUGUGGGGCUGGGGCACCGUAGAGGCAGAUGGAAUUCCGGGUGUAGCGGUGGAAUGCGUAGAGAUCCGGAAGAACACCGGAGGCGAAGGCGGCUCGCUGGGACGUAACUGACGCUGAGACGCGAAAGCGUGGGGAGCAAACAGG
rnacentral:rRNA from 1 species